rnacentral:lncRNA from 1 species
GACUAAAUCCGGUAUCGGAGGAGCAAGUUAUGGGAUUUCUACCAAACUACACAAAGUUAAGAAAACUGUGAAAAGGACAGUUUUGGAGCAGUCACUUCCGGGUUAAAUUCCGGGAGCUAAACAUAUCCAAAUAUGGAUUGUGAUAUAUGAAAACUAUAGCUCGGAAAGAUACGAAUCCAACAAAAUUGACGGAUCAUUAAUCGGAGUUACAGAUUUCGUUUUAUUUAAGUUUUGGUGAAGGAG